rnacentral:rRNA from 1 species
GGACUACCCGGGUUUCUAAUCCCGUUCGCUACCCUGGCCUUCGCGUCUCAGCGUCAGGAGCGGCCCAGGGGGCCGCCUUCGCCUCUGGUGUUCCUCCCGAUCUCUACGCAUUUCACCACUACACCGGGAAUUCCACCCCCCUCUACCGUCCUCAAGUCUGGCGGUUUCCAUCGACCUCACCUCGUUAAGCGAGGCGCUUUCACGACAGACCUGCCAAACCGCCUACACGCGCUUUACGCCCAGUAAUUCCGGACAACGCUCGCCUCCUACGUAUUACCGCGGCUGCUGGCAC